rnacentral:tRNA from 1 species
GAAGGUACAGCUCAGUGGUACACCACAUGCUUAGCAUGCACGAGGUCCUGGGUUCAAUCCCCAGUACCUCCA